rnacentral:rRNA from 1 species
GACGAACGCUGGCGGCGUGCUUAACACAUGCAAGUCGAGCGGUAAGGCCCUUUCGGGGGUACACGAGCGGCGAACGGGUGAGUAACACGUGGGUGACCUGCCCUCAGCUCUGGGAUAAGCCUGGGAAACCGGGUCUAAUACCGGAUAUGACUCCAUGACGCAUGUUGUGGGGUGGAAAGCCUUGUGCGGCUGAGGAUGGGCCCGCGGCCUAUCAGCUUGUUGGUGGGGUGAUGGCCUACCAAGGCGACGACGGGUAGCCGGCCUGAGAGGGCGACCGGCCACACUGGGACUGAGACACGGCCCAGACUCCUACGGGAGGCAGCAGUGGGGAAUCUUGCGCAAUGGGCGAAAGCCUGACGCAGCGACGCCGCGUGAGGGAUGACGGCCUC